CCCUCCCUUUUAUUUUCAUUACUCGUUCCGCCUCCUUCUCUCUCGCUCAUAUGAAACAGAGCAAGAGAAACACUCUCAACCCUCAACUCUCGAUUUGUCUCUCUCUCUCUCUCUCUCUCUCUCUCUCGCACGAAUCUCUCACACUCGCGGUUCAAACAACAACGUCAAACAUAGCAAACAAUAUCGAUACCCUUAUCCCCACAAAACCCUAAAUCCCCAAUAUCACUCUGUUCAUAUUGUUACAUAUAAAAGGCAAGAGCUAUAAUUUAAACAAGAAUGAAAAGCCUGUACCGAGCAACAAUGAAAGAAAGCUCCAAUGGAUUUACCGAAUAACGAUGACUCCGACGAUAGCUUCAAGGUCUUAUGCAGCGUGGAACAAGGCCUUUGCAAAUGAGCAUGGAAGAUGUUUGGAGAAUUGAAAUUUUGAGGGCUAAGAUUAGAUUAUCAUGAAAUCUCUUGUAAUCCCUUUGUUAUAGUACUUCAAAAAUGAAGCACCAUAAUAUCUUGUAACUAUAUUUAAUAAACCUUGGAUGGUAAUUGAUGACAUAUUUGAAUGCAACUUGAAAAUUUGAAUAA